rnacentral:rRNA from 1 species
GCAUAACGCGAAGAACCUUACCCAGGUUUGACAUGCAGUGGACAGUCCUAGAGAUAGGAUCUCCCGCAAGGGCCGCUGCACAGGUGCUGCAUGGCUGUCGUCAGCUCGUGCCGUGAGGUGUUGGGUUAAGUCCCGCAACGAGCGCAACCCUUAUCGUUAGUUGCCAGCACGUGAAGGUGGGAACUCUAACGAGACUGCCCGGGUUAACCGGGAGGAAGGCGAGGAUGACGUCAAGUCCGCAUGGCCCUUAUAUCUGGGGCUACACACGUGCUACAAUGGCCGGUACAGAGGGCAGCCAAACCGCGAGGUGGAGCAAAUCCCGUAAAGCCGGCCCAGUUCAGAUUGUAGUCUGCAACUCGACUACAUGAAGUUGGAAUUGCUAGUAAUGGCGUGUCAGCUACAACGCCGUGAAUACGUUCCCGGGUCUUGUACACACCG